CCGACUGCCAUAGAAUCUAAUGGGAACGAUACCCAGUAAGCCACGGUGAUUUUGGCGUCAACGCUUUCGUUACCCCGGCGUUGGAAAUGUCAGUUCCGGUCCAAGUGGCAUCAAGUCAUAAAGAAGAGCGCACAGGCCUGCUGCACACACUUCUUCGCGAAAUAAGGAGGAAGUCGCUGUGUCAGGUUGCAACAAAUGCCAUGACGCACCUGCAUAAUCGCGGUCCUUAGGCGCCUGACCAGCCAACCGACAUCAGGUGCCGGCGCUCAAAGCCCCGGAGAGCCCGCAGUCCUUGGCACUUUACCAAAUUCUUCUCUUCGGGGCUCUGCCUAAACUGUCAUCACCCACCUAGCUUCAAUGAAGAUGUCUCUCUGGCAUUUAUUUAUUUGUAAUGAAACUGUUAUCAAAUAACCCAACAUCACCCACCUAAUUCCAUGAAAAAUGGCUGUGUGGUACUUGCUUAUCUGUGAAUAAACUUAUGAAAUGUCUUUUAA